rnacentral:rRNA from 1 species
GCUGUGCUAAUACCGCAUACGAUCUACGGAUGAAAGCGGGGGACCUUCGGGCCUCGCGCGAUUGGAGCGGCCGAUGUUAGAUUAGGUAGUUGGUGGGGUAAAGGCUCACCAAGCCGACGAUCUAUAGCUGGUCUGAGAGGACGACCAGCCACACUGGAACUGAGACACGGUCCAGACUCCUACGGGAGGCAGCAGUGGGGAAUUUUGGACAAUGGGCGCAAGCCUGAUCCAGCAAUACCGCGUGCAGGAAGAAGGCCUUCGGGUUGUAAACUGCUUUUGUACGGAACGAAAAGGCUCUUUUUAAUAAAGAGGGCUCAUGACGGUACCGUAAGAAUAAGCACCGGCUAACUACGUGCCAGCAGCCGCGGUAAUACGUAGGGUGCGAGCGUUAAUCGGAAUUACUGGGCGUAAAGCGUGCGCAGGCGGUUUUGUAAGACAGACGUGAAAUCCCCGGGCUCAACCUGGGAAUUGCGUUUGUGACUGCAAGGCUAGAGUACGGUAGAGGGGGGUAGAAUUCCGCGUGUAGCAGUGAAAUGCGUAGAUAUGCGGAGGAACACCGAUGGCGAAGGCAGCCCCCUGGACCUGUACUGACGCUCAUGCACGAAAGCGUGGGGAGCAAACAGGAUUAGAUACCCUGGUAGUCCACGCCCUAAACGA